GAUGAAGAACGUAGCGAAAUGCGAUACUUGGUGUGAAUUGCAGAAUCCCGUGAACCAUCGAGUCUUUGAACGCAAGUUGCGCCCGAAGCCAUCAGGUUGAGGGCACGUCUGCCUGGGCGUCACAUAUCGUUGCCCAAUGCCUAUUGCAGUGCAAUAGGAAUUUCUAGGGCGAAUGAUGCUUCCCGUGAGCGUUGUUGCCUCGCGGUUGGUUGAAAAUCGAGUCCUUGGUAGGGUGUGCCAUGGUAGAUGGUGGUCGAGUUAGAACGAUACCGAUCAUGUGCAUGCUCCCCAAAAUAUGGCCUCUAUGACCCACACGCGUCUUUUGACGCUCAUGACGAGACCUCAGGUCAGGCGGGGCUACCCGCUGAAUUUAAGCAUAUCAAUAAGCGGAGGA
rnacentral:misc_RNA from 1 species